rnacentral:rRNA from 1 species
UUGGAGGGCAAGUCUGGUGCCAGCAGCCGCGGUAAUUCCAGCUCCAAUAGCGUAUAUUAAAGUUGCUGCAGUUAAAAAGCUCGUAGUUGAAUUUCGGGACCAAUAUGUCGGUCGUGCUUCUGUACGUACUGGCAUAAUUGGUUUCUCCCUUCUGAAGAACCUUGAUGUCAUUAAUUUGGUGUCUUGGGGAAUCAGGACUGUUACUUUGAAAAAAUUAGAGUGUUUAAAGCAGGCUCGCGCUUGAAUACAUUAGCAUGGAAUAAUGAAAUAGGACGUUUGAUUCUAUUUUGUUGGUUUCUAGGAUCGACGUAAUGAUUAAUAGGGAUAGUUGGG